UGUAACGGACGAGUGUUGAAUACAUGAAGCGCCAUCUAUGACUCGGUUGCGAAACUACAAUAAACAUAGAAAAGCAUUUUUGUUUACCGAUAAUAUGCAGGUCUGCAUAUUACGAAUACCGAUAAUAAGUAGGUCUGCAUUGACGUUAAUGGGGAUCGGAUAAACGCUUACGGUGUUCGGCUUAACCCUAGAGGAAACGCUGUUCGCCUCGUGCAUUCUUUUCAAUUCGAGCUUACAGACAGUGAAGUUGUGCGAUUUUAUAUUACCUUUGGCCAAACCACGCCAAAGAGGUUAGAGCCGGUCACGAAAUUUUUAAAGGCAAUUAAGUGCCAAGUGAAUUCAAGACCGCUUUCUGAGCUAAAUCACGGUCAGUGGAACAAAAGGAAAAUAUUCAGAAGAGGCGCUCUGCAGGGGGCGGCCUAGAACCUGUCUCCCGGCCCAUAACAGAAUUGACGCUGAGAAGUCCGGCUAGGCAGCUGCGGGCAGAAAUAAUUCAAGCGAUCGUCAGCCGCCUGCCCCAGCCAACUGCCCCAGCUACGUGCACCCAGCCAGUGCGGCCAAGAAGGGCAGCCGACAGUAGCUCGGCAGCCAAAUAGGAGUUUUCAAGCAAUGACUGUUGACCCUCAUCAAGCGCCACCGUAAUCAACAGGAAACUGUCGCUCUGGAUUUGUUUUUGUGCCAAUUGUUAAUUUUAUAGCAGUUUUUGCUAAAAUAUCGGUGCAUAUAGGCCAGUGAAAUACAUGAAUUAGGCCAUAGCCUGAACCAUGGUGUGAA